GCAUGUGCUGUGAGCUCGAUGAGUAGGGCGGGACACGUGGUAUCCUGUCUGAAUAUGGGGGGACCAUCCUCCAAGGCUAAAUACUCCUGACUGACCGAUAGUGAACCAGUACCGUGAGGGAAAGGCGAAAAGAACCCCGGCGAGGGGAGUGAAAAAGAACCUGAAACCGUGUACGUACAAGCAGUGGGAGCCCCACCACCAAAGCAUUUGCUGUACCGCGUUGACGGAGCGAAGCGACGUCAAACCGAUAAAACAGCAGUGUAAAGUGAGCCGCAGGGCGCUUUGCGCGACAGCGCAAAGGCAGGCGGUUUCGCGUAGCGAAAGCGAAUGCUUUGGGGUGGGGUGACUGCGUACCUUUUGUAUAAUGGGUCAGCGACUUAUAUUCUGUAGCAAGGUUAACCGAAUAGGGGAGCCG
rnacentral:rRNA from 1 species